AUGAGAAUCUAAUGCUGCCACUGAUUUGACUGGAGGCAGAGCUCACGCAGUGAUGCCAAUGAUGGGAAAUGGCUGUAAAUACAGAAAUUUUGCUUGCUCAACUACUGCUCACCUCCUGCUGUGCAACCCAGUUCCUAAUAGGCUGUGGCCUGGGGUUUGGGCACAGCCGCUAUAAAGAGCUGCACAUAUUGACCUCCCUGUCGGUAGGUUGAGCUUGCUGAAAGCCACAAGCUGCAGUGUUGUGUUGGGGACCUGUGACCAGCUCUAAUCCCUCAGGAGAAGAACUCCAAUGCCCAGGUGGUGGGCAGAACCCUGGAACUUCCAGAGAAAGACUAAAGAAUGCUUUCUUGGCAUUUCUUAAUUGAUCAAUAGUCUUUUUCAUCUGUAUCAUCAUAAAAGAAGAGAAAAAGUGGAGAAGCUUUGUAAUUUCCCACCGUGAUGCCUUUAGUAGAGUGGAAAGCAGACAUAAUCAGG